UCACAAUUGUAUCUCAUAAUUGUGUUUUGUUUUAUAGGAUUCUUUAUGGAAAUAAGAUUGCAGAUCUGCCUCGAGGUGUUUUUGACAGAUUGAGUGCAUUAGAGUUACUACUAUUAAAAUGCCAGUAAAAUCCACUGUGUGCGAGCCAAUGUCUUCCAUGACCUUGAGAACCUAUUGUCCCUGUAUGACAAUAAGAUCCAGACUCUAGCCAAAGGCACAUUUACUCCGCUGGAAUCCAUCCAGACUCUUCAUUUAGCUCAAAACCCAUUCGUCUGUGAUUGUGGUUUGAAGUGGCUGGCGGACUUUAUGCGCUCCAACACGAUUGAGACCAGCGCCGCACGAUGCUCCAGUCCUCGAUGAUUCGCCAACAAACGCAUCAGUCAGAUCAAGAGCAAGAAGUUCCACUGUUCAGGUAGAAUACACAAAUUGCAUACAUUUAUUUAUUUGAAAGUACACACAUAACGUUUAACUG